ACGGGUGAGUAACGCGUGGGAAUCUACCCAUCUCUACGGAAUAACGCAUGGAAACGUGUGCUAAUACCGUAUACGUCCUUCGGGAGAAAGAUUUAUCGGAGAUGGAUGAGCCCGCGUUGGAUUAGCUAGUUGGUGGGGUAAGGGCCUACCAAGGCGACGAUCCAUAGCUGGUCUGAGAGGAUGAUCAGCCACACUGGGACUGAGACACGGCCCAGACUCCUACGGGAGGCAGCAGUGGGGAAUAUUGGACAAUGGGCGCAAGCCUGAUCCAGCCAUGCCGCGUGAGUGAUGAAGGCCCUAGGGUUGUAAAGCUCUUUCACCGGUGAAGAUAAUGACGGUAACCGGAGAAGAAGCCCCGGCUAACUUCGUGCCAGCAGCCGCGGUAAUACGAAGGGGGCUAGCGUUGUUCGGAUUUACUGGGCGUAAAGCGCACGUAGGCGGACUAUUAAGUCAGGGGUGAAAUCCCGGGGCUCAACCCCGGAACUGCCUUUGAUACUGGUAGUCUUGAGUUCGAGAGAGGUGAGUGGAAUUCCGAGUGUAGAGGUGAAGUUCGUAGA
rnacentral:rRNA from 1 species